rnacentral:rRNA from 1 species
UUUUUACAAUGGAGAGUUUGAUCCUGGCUCAGGAUGAACGCUAGCGGCAGGCCUAACACAUGCAAGUCGAGGGGCAGCACGGUUUUCGGACUGGUGGCGACCGGCGCACGG